ACGAACGCUGGCGGCAUGCCUAACACAUGCCAGUCGCACGAGACCUUCGGGUCUAGUGGCGCACGGGUGCGUAACGCGUGGGAACCUGCCCUUAGGUUCGGAAUAACUCCCCGAAAGGGGUGCUAAUACCGAAUAAUGUCUUCGGACCAAAGAUUUAUCGCCUUUGGAUGGGCCCGCGUUGGAUUAGCUAGUUGGUAGGGUAAAAGCCUACCAAGGCGACGAUCCAUAGCUGGUCUGAGAGGAUGAUCAGCCACACUGGGACUGAGACACGGCCCAGACUCCUACGGGAGGCAGCAGUGGGGAAUAUUGGACAAUGGGCGAAAGCCUGAUCCAGCAAUGCCGCGUGAGUGAUGAAGGCCUUAGGGUUGUAAAGCUCUUUUACCCGGGAUGAUAAUGACAGUACCGGGAGAAUAAGCUCCGGCUAACUCCGUG
rnacentral:rRNA from 1 species